rnacentral:rRNA from 1 species
UACGUAGGGGGCUAGCGUUGUCCGGAAUCAUUGGGCGUAAAGAGCGUGUAGGCGGCCCGGUAAGUCCGCUGUGAAAGUCGGGGGCUCAACCCUCGAAUGCCGGUGGAUACUGUCGGGCUAGAGUGCGGAAGAGGCGAGUGGAAUUCCUGGUGUAGCGGUGAAAUGCGUAGAGAUGUGGAGGAACACCAAUGGCGAAGGCAGCCUUCUGGGCCAACACUGACGCUCAUGCACGAAAGCGUGGGGAGCAAACAGG